GACGCCAGGCGCGGCUCAGGCCCCAGGAGCACGUGGCGGUGGCGCUCCCAGCAGGGCUGUCGCUCGGUGGCAGGCUCGCUGGAAGUGAAACAGGCGGAGGGCGCGGCCCGUGCCCUACCUGAGGUGGCCGUGGUGUGGACUCCGAAGCAGAUGGUCUGGGAAAAACUGCCCUGUUCAUGGGGCAAGAGCUCUUCCUUCCCUUCUCAGGUUUGGACUAUUGGAUAUGAAGAUGGUACAGCUUUGAUGUAAACGUCCUUGCACACGUUUUUGGUUUUGUUUUUAAUUUCUCUUGGAGAAAGAGCAUCAUCAGUGCACAUGUGUGGAGGAGGGGCAGGAUCCCAAGCAGCCUCCCUGCUGAGGGCAGAGAGUGAGAGGUGGCUGGAUCUCGAGGCCCACCAGAUCAUGACCUGAGCCUAAACCACCAACUAAGCCACCCAGAAAAAUUUCAAGACUAAUUUAUUCAAUCCUCACAUAAACCAGUAUGGAGGACGCAAAUAAACUCUCUGUGUAACUCAACUCCCAGCGUGGAGGACUCAGUAAAUCAGUGAGCUCCUGGUGGAAAAAAAUUACAUAUUUUGGGAAUCAUUAUCUCAAUCUGCAUUUUCUCUUGGGUGAACCUGUGUUGUUGUGGUAUCUGCCUCCACUACAGCCAAGGGAGCCACCUCCAAGUGAAGUCCCUUGCUGACGCUGCUGGGCACAUUGCAGAAGAUUGUAAGAGGCAGUCUUGAGGGUUGGAGUGUCUGGGAAGGUCAUUGAGAGGACGUGGCCUCGGGUCAACCCACCAGUUGGCCCUGGGCUCCUGCACCUUCUCAGUCUUUGGAACAAGCACGCUGCCUCCCAUUUCCACAGCCAGCUGUCUUCAAUGGUACAGCCUUGAGCAAGCAAGUGUUUUUGAGCAGCAUACGUGGUGGAACCCCACUCAGGCCUCUUUAGAAACGUUUAGGAUUCUGGCGAGUAGGUGCAGAGAUCUAUAGAUCUUGCGAGCACCAAGGCAAUCCUCCUAAGUAAGUGCCCUUGCUCAUUAAACCUGUGCCUAGGGCUCUGGAAUGGCUGUCUCUCUCUUCAUCUGCCUGCCCUCUAUUUAGGAGGCCAGUUCCAGAUCUUACCGAAAGAACCCCCCAGUUUGUGAACCAGCAUUUCUGGCCAGUGGACCUGCUUUGCCUGAAAUGUUAAAAGAAGUUCUUUAGAGAGAAGAAAAAUAAUACAGGUCUGAAACUUGGGGGCUACACAAUGAAAGGAAGAGCAUCAAAGAGGAAAUAAGUGAAGUAAUGGGGUAAACUGGAUCAUUCAUCACCUGCCACCACCAGAGGAUGGAGGAAACAAUCACCAGAGAUAACCUGAAAUAUGGCCAAAUGGAGAACUGCCUCUAGAUUGUUGACUGAGUAUUCCUACCACCAUGUUAGCAGUUCAGUCUGUCUGUUCAUGGGGCCACACAGAGGAAAACUAAGCUCUCCAGCCAAAAGUCCCAGCGAACUAACCGACAUGUGAGUGAGACCGUCUUCCACUAUCCAGCUACCAAGGCUCCAGAUGCCUACAGUCACAUGAGUGACUCUAGAGAACACCAACAGAUGUACCACCGAACUGAUGUGAGCCCAAAUAGCAAAAUUGAAGCAAAUAAAUGGUUGCUGUGUUGAGCACAUAAAAAGAAUAUGAGGGUUGAGCAGAAGUGGGUGACUUGGACAAACUAAGGGGGAGAGAGAAAUAGAGAAGGAGAAGCUUUGCUUGGGGAAGAUGUUUUAAAAGGGAAGGAAAAUAAUAAUGACAAGGUAGAGAAAUGAAUCAUACUGACUUCACAGUUCUGCCCAGGAUUUUCUCUGACUGACUGAGCAGUAAGAUCUCUGAAGCAAUGAGACCCAAUGACAUCAGAUUGACUAUUUCACUGAAUUUCCCCCAUCACAGACUAAUUUUCUGAUGGAACUGAUUUGUUAUUUUGGAAUUAAAAUUUAUCAAUCCCUUUUCAAUGAUGGAAGGCUGAGGAGAUUGCAGAGAUCCCUGUUCUACCCACUAUAUUAUUGUAUAAUAGAAGAGCAUUCCAGUUGCUCAUUGACUACAUGAAAACAGAACAUUUUAUAGGCAGGGAUAAAGAACUGUAAUUCUGUAUUAUUGCUACAGUAAUUUAGUUUAUUUAGAAAAAUAAGGAAAGCCUCAGUCGUAUUUGUCUGAUACUAAAAUAUUACCUACUUUUCACAAAUCCCCAGAGAUUUCUGAAUGUCCUCUCAUAUAUCCAUAAUUUAACUUGAGGAAUUAUCAAGACACUCAAAUUAUUGAUUUGAGUAUCAGAGAUUAUAACUCUUCUCAAGAAUUAUUUACCUUGGAAUUAAAUUAUUCAACUCUCAACAUUUAAGAACUGAAUGCAGAGAAAAGAAAAUGAUCCUUACAUCUGUAUCAAAAUAUUCAAAAUCAAAAUAUGUGGAUGAAAGUUUAUAUUACCUUACACCAGUGCCAGUAAUAGGGAUUUGGGGGCUAUUUUGUUUUUAUUGAAGUAUUACAUGCACAUAUUUCAAUACUACUGAACAAACUAAUAUUAUAGUAUAUGUUAACUCACUGGAAUUUAAAUAAAAACUUGAAACAAAACCAAAAAACAAACAAACAAAACCCAUUUGCAAAAUAUAGUAUA